GACGAACGCUGGCGGCGUGCUUAACACAUGCAAGUCGAACGAUGAACCGGGUUCGGCCGGCGAUUAGUGGCGUACGGGGGAGUAACACGUCGUUAAUCUGCGCUUCACUCUGGGAUAAGCCCGGGAAACUGGGUCUAAUACCGGAUACGACACUCCUAUGCAUCUUGGGGCGUGGAAAGUUCCGGCGGUGCAGGGUGAGCCCGCGGCCUAUCAGCUUGUUGGUGGGGUAAUGGCCUACCAAGGCGACGACGGGUAGCCGGCCUGAGAGGGUGACCGGCCACACUGGGACUGAGACACGGCCCAGCCUCCUACGGGAGGCAGCGGUGCGGAAUAUUGCACAAGGGGAGGAAGCCUGAUGCAGCGAAGCCGCGUGGGGGAUGCCGGCCUUCGGGUUGUAAACCUCUUUCAGCAGGGAAGAGGCGAAAGUGACGGUACCAGCAGAAGAAGCCCCGGCUAACUACGUG
rnacentral:rRNA from 1 species